ACGAACGCUGGCGGCAUGCCUAACACAUGCCAGUCGAACGAGACCUUCGGGUCUAGUGGCGCACGGGUGCGUAACGCGUGGGAACCUGCCCUUAGGUUCGGAAUAACUCCCCGAAAGGGGUGCUAAUACCGGAUAAUGUCUUCGGACCAAAGAUUUAUCGCCUUUGGAUGGGCCCGCGUUGGAUUAGCUAGUUGGUAGGGUAAAAGCCUACCAAGGCGACGAUUCAUAGCUGGUCUGAGAGGAUGACCAGCCACACUGGGACUGAGACACGGCCCAGACUCCUACGGGAGGCAGCAGUGGGGAAUAUUGGACAAUGGGCGAAAGCCUGAUCCAGCAAUGCCGCGUGAGUGAUGAAGGCCUUAGGGUUGUAAAGCUCUUUUACCCGGGAUGAUAAUGACAGUACCGGGAGAAUAAGCUCCGGCUAACUCCGUG
rnacentral:rRNA from 1 species